ACAAAAAAAAGGGAAAACAGAAAGAGAAAGAAGCAGCAGCAGCACAACUCCUGUUCAUCCAACCUCUCACGCUGACUGCCGACUGUCUUUCCGUUCAUAUUUCAUCAGAAUCUCUCUCCUCUUUCUCACGGUACCAGUUCAAUGGAGUAGGUACCAGUUCAAUAAAGUAUCUUGCAUACGUGAUGAAUUAAGCACUUCUUAAAGGUUAAGGUAGAUAGCAAGUUGUGGGUUGAAUGGGGUGCUAGAAUAACCAUGGUGAAUCAUGUGUAGCCUAAUGGUUUGUAAUUAUUAUACUUGUAUACCUAGAAGCUCUGGGAUUAUGUUAUUUAUUCUACGCUUUUGCAUACUUUGCUUAUAUAGGUUAUAAUGAUAAUGAUAUGCGAGAAAUCCCUAAACUAGAAUAUGUGCAGGCCUUCGGCGGCUUAACACCCGCUUGGGCGGUCAUGACUU